UACAGGGGGGGCAAGCGUUGUUCGGAAUUACUGGGCGUAAAGGGCUCGUAGGUGGCCAACUAAGUCAGACGUGAAAUCCCUCAGCUUAACUGGGGAACUGCGUCUGAUACUGGAUGGCUUGAGUUUGGGAGAGGGAUGCGGAAUUCCAGGUGUAGCGGUGAAAUGCGUAGAUAUCUGGAGGAACACCGGUGGCGAAGGCGGCAUCCUGGACCAAUAUUGACGCUGAGGAGCGAAAGCCAGGGGAGCAAACGGG
rnacentral:rRNA from 1 species